ensembl:misc_RNA
CAGUGACAAUUGAAGUCCUGUAUUUAUCCAGUCUAGGUACUGGACAGGCUGCCACAGUGUGAGCUUCCUAAACUACUACCCUGGUAAUCUCCACCUUGACUUGGAGGAACCAUCCUCUCUAGGGGUGUAAAGGUAGUUCAGUCUCCACACUGGCCUAGACAUUU